GAUGAACGCUAGCUACAGGCUUAACACAUGCAAGUCGAGGGGCAGCAUGAUUGAAGCUUGCUUCAAUCGAUGGCGACCGGCGCACGGGUGAGUAACACGUAUCCAACCUGCCGAUAACUCGGGGAUAGCCUUUCGAAAGAAAGAUUAAUACCCGAUAGUAUAGUAUUUCCGCAUGGUUUCACUAUUAAAGAACUUCGGUUAUCGAUGGGGAUGCGUUCCAUUAGAUAGUUGGCGGGGUAACGGCCCACCAAGUCAACGAUGGAUAGGGGUUCUGAGAGGAAGGUCCCCAACAUUGGAACUGAGACACGGUCCAAACUCCUACGGGAGGCAGCAGUGAGGAAUAGUGGUCAAUGGACGAGAGUCUGAACCAGCCAAGUAGCGUGAAGGAUGACUGCCCUAUGGGUUGUAAACUUCUUUUAUACGGGAAUAAAGUGGAGUAUGCAUACUCCUUUGUAUGUACCGUAUGAAUAAGGAUCGGCUAACUCCGUG
rnacentral:rRNA from 1 species